GGAACGGUGGCCGAUUGGCAAGGCUCCCGCUUGGAAUGCGGAGGACUGGCGAGUCCAGAGCAGGUUCGAUUCCUGCCCGUUCCG
rnacentral:tRNA from 1 species